rnacentral:rRNA from 1 species
UGAGUAACACGUGGGUAACCUGGCCCCAAUCUGGGGAUAACACCUGGAAUUUAUGCUAAUACCGUUUCCCCAAGAAAGCCGUCUGGUUUUCUUUUCCAAGAUGGCUCUGCUAUCACUUCUGGAUGGACCCGCGGCGCAUUAGCUAGUUGGUGAGGUAACGGCUCACCAAGGCGAUGAUGCGUAGCCGACCUGAGAGGGUAAUCGGCCACAUUGGGACUGAGACACGGCCCAGACUCCUACGGGAGGCAGCAGUAGGGAAUCUUCCACAAUGGACGCAAGUCUGAUGGAGCAACGCCGCGUGAGUGAAGAAGGGUUUCGGCUCGUAAAGCUCUGUUGUUAAAGAAGAACGUGGGUGAGAGUAACUGUUCACCCAGUGACGGUAUUUAACCAGAAAGCCACGGCUAACUACGUGCCAGCAGCCGCGGUAAUACGUAGGUGGCAAGCGUUAUCCGGAUUUAUUGGGCGUAAAGCGAGCGCAGGCGGUCUUUUAAGUCUAAUGUGAAAGCCUUCGGCUCAACCGAAGAAGUGCAUUGGAAACUGGGAGACUUGAGUGCAGAAGAGGACAGUGGAACUCCAUGUGUAGCGGUGAAAUGCGUAGAUAUAUGGAAGAACACCAGUGGCGAAGGCGGCUGUCUGGUCUGUAACUGACGCUGAGGCUCGAAAGCAUGGGUAGCGAACAGGAUUAGAUACCCUGGUAGUCCAUGCCGUAAACGAUGAUUACUAAGUGUUGGAGGGUUUCCGCCCUUCAGUGCUGCAGCUAACGCAUUAAGUAAUCCGCCUGGGGAGUACGACCGCAAGGUUGAAACUCAAAAGAAUUGACGGGGGCCCGCACAAGCGGUGGAGCAUGUGGUUUAAUUCGAAGCUACGCGAAGAACCUUACCAGGUCUUGACAUCUUCUGCCAACCUAAGAGAUUAGGCGUUCCCUUCGGGGACAGAAUGACAGGUGGUGCAUGGUUGUCGUCAGCUCGUGUCGUGAGAUGUUGGGUUAAGUCCCGCAACG